UAUUAUACUAAAAAGGUGAAUAAAAUGAGCCGGAUUAUUAAAAGAUAUGUUCUCUAAAUUUGAAGAAUUUGGCGGUGAUUUAGUCUUGUCAGAGGAACCUGUUUUUGAAUCGAUACACCACGUAGGAUCUUACUCAUUCUUGUUAAGUAUUACAGCUUAUAUACCAUCAUUAACGGAUAAUUUUUAAAGAAAUAAUUAUUGUAAUUUAUAAGUUUAAAUAAAAUUAGAUCAAGGUGUAGCUUAUGAGUGAGUUAAAAUGGGUUACAAUAAAAUUUAUUUAUAACGUAAGGAUCGAGGAAGUGAUUUGAUCUAAAGGAGGAUUUGAUUGUAAUUUGAGUUUAAUACGCUUAAGAGAUAUAAGCUCUAAAUCAU
rnacentral:rRNA from 1 species